UCUCUCUCUCUCUCUCUCUCUCUCUCUCUCUCUCUCUCUCUUAACCGCUUAGAAAACCUGCAACAAGACCUAAACAUGGUUUUCGAAGAUAUGGAGCGUCGUCUCUUCUCGUUGGACCUCCCUUUCACAGAUCGGAUGCAUCAAACUCUCCACCUCUAUGCCCUAGCUUCCGUCUUCAGAGGAGACGAUCUAGAACUCGAUCUAUCGACGAACGACCAAAAGGGGAUAGGCCACCGUUGCAGAUCCAACUCCGAUUAGGGUUCUCGUCUUCAGCCCCGUCGUCUCCGCCAUCACCACCCUCUCAUCUCAAAGUCGUCGUCACCUACAGAAAACCCUAAUUAAUCUGAAGUCGUUGUUAUCUAAAUAGAUAGGGUUUUGAUGUCAUCGGUUUCAAAAGAAGAGGGAGAAGGGGAAACAGUGAGGCCAUUUUACAUAUUUGCAUCUCUUGGAAUCGAUUUGAGGCCAUGAAAUUGUUGUCUAAAUCUGUAUACAGGAAUUUGAAACAAGAAACAAAAAUGAUUUUUGAUUUAUGAUUCUUUUAUAGUGGUGGCAUCCGGUGGUGGUGGUGGUGGCGGGAGGUGGUGAUGGUGGCUGUAGGUGGUGAUUAAUGAAGGAAGUGGUGGAUGGUAGUGAUUUAGAUGGUCGAAGUAGAUGAAGUUAGGCACAUAUGUCAGUUCCAAUGGAGAGAGAGAGAGAGAGAGAGAGAGAGAUUUUAUUUUUGUUUUAUUUUUAAUAGUUUUUUAAUUG